rnacentral:rRNA from 1 species
UGAAAAGAACUUUGAAGAGAGAGUUCAAGAGUACGUGAAACCGUUCAGGGGUAAACCUGAGAAACCCAAAAGAUCGAAUGGGGAGAUUCAUCGUCAGCAUGUUUGAUAUAUGUAUGAGUUAUGAUAUGGAUUAUCCUCUCACGGGGAUAUUAAUUUGUACAUACUUGUAUUAUUUUAUUGUUAGACAUUGUCGGCGUGCACUUCUCCCCUAGUAGGACGUCGCGACCCGUUGGGUGUCGGUCUACGGCCCGAUUGGGUAGCCUUUAAUCGUAAAAAAUUAAAGACCAAUUGGUGUUUCCUGACCGACUGCUCGGCGGUACUCGUACGGUAUUGAGUCGCAUUUAUGCGUCUACACCCGUCGCAAGCGCGGCCAUAACCUGGAAGUACGGACCUAGUGCCGUCUCUGGGCCUGGCCAGCUGUUGGCUGUUGCGGUGUUCUGUGACUGACUCUGAAAUUAAUUACCGGUCGGCGACGCUACUGCUUUGGGUACUUUCAGGACCCGUCUUGAAACACGGACCAAGGAGUCUAACAUGUGCGCGAGUCAUUGGGAAUUUUUUAUUAAAUUAAACCUAAAGGCGCAAUGAAAGUAAAGAUCGUCCUUGCGUCGAUCGAGGGAGGAUGAGCCGUGUUACGAUACGGCUCCGCACUCCCGGGGCGUCUCAUUCUCAUUACGAGAA